ACCCUACGGGACGCAGCAGUAAGGGAUAUUGGUCAAUGGGGGAAACCCUGAACCAGCAACGCCGCGUGAGGGAAGACGGUUUUCGGAUUGUAAACCUCUGUCCUCUGUGAAGAUGAUGACGGUAGCAGAGGAGGAAGCUCCGGCUAACUACGUGCCAGCAGCCGCGGUAAUACGUAGGGAGCGAGCGUUGUCCGGAAUUACUGGGCGUAAAGGGUGCGUAGGUGGUUUCUUAAGUCAGAGGUGAAAGGCUACGGCUCAACCGUAGUAAGCUUUUGAAACUGGGAAACUUGAGUGCAGGAGAGGAG
rnacentral:rRNA from 1 species